rfam:Triticum urartu cultivar G1812 contig844725, whole genome shotgun sequence.
CAUGUACUCCCUCCGUCCCAAAAUUCUUGUCUUAGAUUUGUCUAAAUAUGGAUGUAUCAAGUCACGUUUUAGUAUUAGAUACAUCCGUAUCUAGGCAAAUUUAAGACAAGAAUUUUGGGACGGAGGAAGUAUAAG